CCUACGGGUGGCAGCAGUGAGGAAUAUUGGUCAAUGGACGAGAGUCUGAACCAGCCAAGUAGCGUGAAGGAUGACUGCCCUAUGGGUUGUCAACUUCUUUUAUAAGGGAAUAAAACGUUCCACGUGUGGCUUUUUGUAUGUACCUUAUGAAUAAGGAUCGGCUAACUCCGUGCCAGCAGCCGCGGUAAUACGGAGGAUCCGAGCGUUAUCCGGAUUUAUUGGGUUUAAAGGGAGCGUAGAUGGAUUGUUAAGUCAGUUGUGAAAGUUUGCGGCUCAACCGUAAAAUUGCAAUUGAAACUGGCAGUCUUGAGUACAGUUGAGGUGGGCGGAAUUCGUGGUGUAGCGGUGAAAUGCUUAGAUAUCACGAAGAACCCCGAUUGCGAAGGCAGCUUACUGAACUGCAACUGACAUUGAGGCUCGAAAGUGUGGGUAUCAAACAGGAUUAGAUACCCGAGUAGUC
rnacentral:rRNA from 1 species